AGUCCUGUCCCCUCUCAACUGCAGGUGCUUAGUCCUGUCCCCUCUCUACAGCAGGUGAUUAGUUAUGUCCCCUGUCCUCUCUACAGCAGGUUCUUAGUUCUGUCCCCUGUCCCCUCUCUACAGCAGGUGCUUAGUUCUGUCCCCUCUCUACAGCAGGUGCUUAGUUCUGUCCCCUCUCUACAACAGGUGCCUACAGACGUGGAGAAGUGCCAGGACAGAGUGGAGUGUUUUAACGCUGACCUGAAGUCAGACUGGGACCAGUGGCAGAACAACAAGACACAAGACUUCAGACAGUUACUCACUGGCAUGGCAGACCACAACAUCCAGUACUAUGAGAAGUGCCUUGCAGCGUGGGAGUCUGUCAUUCCAGUAUUACAGGACAAGCAACCACAGGAGACAGAAACAGAGGAAGACUGACACGGCCAGCUCCCCUUAGGAGCACAUUGGAAAGUGGACAUAAGAUCUCAAACACUUCUCUACCCGAGUUACCAGUGUCACACACAGACACAGAUACUCUCGACUUGGAGAUUACCGAGGAAAUGGGCUUUUGGGUCUACAGACUGAAGUUUUCCUUUUUAGUUUUGGUGUUUGUAUUUGUGAAACCCAGUCAGUCGGAACGUCCCAUCCUGCCUGCUGGGCAUUGUCUCACGUCAGGUAGCGCAACGACCGCCUGCACUGAUCUGUCUGAUAACUUGCAAACACUCAUGGGAAAUAAGUUUGGCCGCAAUAUGCUGUCUAACAUUCGGGAAUGUUACCAUCGUCUGCUAAAAGCCUCUACAUCAUCUGAAAGAGUCAGAGUUAAUCUGACCGGAAAUAUCAACCUGGAGUCAGAUUUUUAAAAAAGCUAAUACAUCUUCACUAUCUAAUUCUACAUCUAAUGAAGGUGUGGUUGGAAGAAUCAGUAUUUAUGAAAUUCGUAAUGUACACUAAAAUUAGCUAGCUAACGCGUCAGCUACAGUAGCUAGUGUCUGCUUGCUGGCUGUACCCGUCUCAAAUCAAUCCAUAAUCAAAGGCAGGGAUGCUAACAAUGCGAGUUCACACACACACACUCAAUGCUGAAUAAUCCUAGUAAAGUCUAGCUAAUGCACAAAUGAGUUUUCACGAUAUCUUGUUCUGAGGUGAUAUAGUGUGCCGAGUUCUACAGCACAGCUGAAUGUAGCAAGGCACACUGAGUCAGAAACCUGCUGAUUUCUGAGAACAGUCCCAGAACUUUGGUGCCUUACAAGCUGGCAAACUAUCUACCGUAUGGCCAUUCAAACAAGCCCUGCACUCGGCUGCUAACUGGAGUUUACUCAAGUGAUUGAGCGUGGUUUCCGUAGUAUACAGUGUGUCAUAGCUACAGAGAGAGUUAUUUUCAGAAUUAGGAACUAGAAUUAGGCAGAAGAGCAAAUGGUAGAUUAUUAGAGAUGUGUUCCACGUCCUACGUGACAGAUCGGUUGAGGGAUGAGCCCCCCGUAGGAGUGACGCUAUCUGACGUGAGACAAUGGCCUGCUGGGAAGAGCCAUGGAGCAGAGUGGAUGGGUCUCGCUCUCUCUACCUCUGUCUCUCUCAUUCUCUCUCACUCUCCCUCUACUCUCUCUACUCUCUCUACUCUCUCUCACUCUCUCUCUCUACUCUCUCUCUACUCUGUCUCUCUCACUCUCUCUCUACUCUCUCUCUACUCUGUCUCUCUCUCUCUCUACUCUCUGUCUGUCUCUCACUCUCUCUCUACUCUCUCUCUACUCUCUCUAUUCUCUCUCUAUUCUCUCUCUAUUCUCUCUCUACUCUGUCUGUCUGGAAGCCCUGUUCUGUACCUCGUUGCACACCAAAAUAGCCUGGGUUCUAUUCACAAGAAACCAAACAGAAGAAAACAGACUACCUGAACUUGUCCAAAAAAGAAACUCAUUUUUGUUGCUGAACGCUUUCCGUGUGUUUAACGUUUUGCUACGUUGUGCACUAAUGAACACGACCCUGAUACCGUAGACAGGGCUGUCCUAUAGAAGCGCUCCGUCCCACCGACCAGCCAAAGGAUUAGCGAAUGUAGAGACCAAACUAAUAUUAGGGUGUCCAAAACACCCCUUUGGUGACAAAGUUUCACUUUGUUAUGUUUUAUAUUUUACUGAGACAAAUACGAUUAUUUAUGUUUCUGACUCGUUCAGUGGGGUUUUCUUUAACAUAUCCAUAACAUUAUAUCGGAAAGUAGGAUUUUUUUUUUUGUAACCUAACGUCUGAUACUAUAACCUCUGUUGACGUUGACGUCACGUUUCUCCAAACAACUUUUGAGGAUUUGACAUUUUGUUUUCAGCCAAAUUUGACACGAGCUGAAAUAAAAUGUAAAAGGCAUGAAAAUAAAUAGCUCGGUAUACGCUCAGUGCUCUGUACUUCACAGAGAAACACUUUGGGGGUUUUUUUUUGUUGUGAGAAAGCUUUGAAAAAAGAACAGGAAUUUUUGAGUGAAUAUGAAAAUACUAUGUCACAUCUCAAAAUGUAUAUUUGUGUUACAUCUAGAUUUGUUUUAUUUCCUGUUGAUUUGAGAAGAGAGAUGAAGAGUUGAACGGGAAAAGGGAUCCUGCCUGUUUAGCUGAUUCAAUGCUAUUUUACAGAUUGUUUUUCUACACAAUUAACAUUAUUUUACCGAUUGGUCAAAAGAUGCGUUUUUUGAUUGGAAAUAUGCAGUGUUUCUUUUCUGUUAGAAGGUUGUAGUCUGUAAUUGGUUGGUUGCCAAUUAUCUUUUUUUGUAAACAAUGCAGGUGUUUUGAUGGUCUUUGAUGCCCAAAGCCCUUGAAGAGUCCAGCAGCAUCUUCAUCAUGUUUUUUAUCAUGUUGUUGAUGCACUAACAGAACCAGCUGUCCAGGAGAGUAGAGCAGCAAUCCUCUGGCCAAAGAGGAAACCUACCUCACAUACUGGCUAACAUACUGUCUAACGUUUCCUGGUUGGUGGUCUGACUCCCACACCUGUUCACUAGGAACCAAACGUAAGCAAAACAGGCUGCUCACACAGGAUUUUGAUUCUGGGGUGCCAAGAUUACACCACACCAUACCAGACUCUUCCUCCUGUGCCCAAUAGCCUGGGGAUGAGGUCGAAGGUUAACUGGUAUGAAUCCAUGUUAGCGUCUCAAAUACCCCUCCUAUCUAGUGUGCUACUGUUGACCAGGAUUGUGGUAGUGCAAUAUAUAUAGGAAAUAGGAUGCAAUUUGGGACGCAUCAUGUAGUGCCAAAUCGUGUUGGACUGCCUCCUCCCUCUUCCUCCCUCCCCUAUCCACUGUUAUGUAACACAGUGUGGUUGUUGACAUGGAUUUUGAUGAUAUCUCUGUUCACUACUUAGCUAUCUGCAGCUGGGACAUUACACAAAAACGGUACGAUUUUUUUAAAAACCAAAAAUAAAUACUUAUUUCUGAGCACCUCACGACAUUAAGGACAUAUUGAACCUCUUAAGAAAACAUAUUUUUCCAUCUCAGGCAAGAAAAGCCCUGUCAUUAUCAGCCAUUUUCUUCUGAUAUGGACACGAUUGGUCCUUUUAUGGACACUGUGGAAGUUGUCUGGAUGUAAUUAUAACAUACACUUGUAAUAAAAUUAAUAUUUCACAUGUCAA